UACAGAGGUCCCAAGCGUUGUUCGGAAUUACUGGGCGUAAAGGGCUCGUAGGCGGCCAACUAAGUCAGACGUGAAAUCCCUCGGCUUAACCGGGGAACUGCGUCUGAUACUGGAUGGCUUGAGGUUGGGAGAGGGAUGCGGAAUUCCAGGUGUAGCGGUGAAAUGCGUAGAUAUCUGGAGGAACACCGGUGGCGAAGGCGGCAUCCUGGACCAAUUCUGACGCUGAGGAGCGAAAGCCAGGGGAGCAAACGGG
rnacentral:rRNA from 1 species